AGUGAACGCUGGCGGUAGGCCUAACACAUGCAAGUCGAACGGCAGCACAGAGGAGCUUGCUCCUUGGGUGGCGAGUGGCGGACGGGUGAGGAAUACAUCGGAAUCUACUCUGUCGUGGGGGAUAACGUAGGGAAACUUACGCUAAUACCGCAUACGACCUACGGGUGAAAGCAGGGGACCUUCGGGCCUUGCGCGAUUGAAUGAGCCGAUGUCGGAUUAGCUAGUUGGCGGGGUAAAGGCCCACCAAGGCGACGAUCCGUAGCUGGUCUGAGAGGAGGAUCAGCCACACUGGAACGGAGACACGGUCCAGACUCCUACGGGCGGCAGCAGUGGGGAAUAGUGGACAAUGGGCGAAAGUCUGAUCCAGCCAUACCGCGUGGGUGAAGAAGGCCUUCGGGUUGUAAAGCCCUUUUGUUGGGAUAGAAAUCCAGCUGGCUAAUACCCGGUUGGGAUGACGGUACCCAAAGAAUAAGCACCGGCUAACUUCGUGCCAGCCGCCGCAGUAA
rnacentral:rRNA from 1 species